UGUGUGUGUGUAUGCGUGUGUGUGUGUGUGUGUAUACACACACACACACACACACACAAACACACACACACC